AUUGAACGCUGGCGGCAGGCCUAACACAUGCAAGUCGAACGAGUGGCGGACGGGCGAGUAAUGGAUGGGAAACUGCCUGAUGGAGGGGGAUAACUACUGGAAACGGUAGCUAAUACCGCAUACCAUCAGAUGGGCCCAGAUGGGAUUAGCGUGUUGGUGGGGUAACGGCUCACCAAGGCGACGAUCCCUAGCUGGUCUGAGAGGAUGACCGGCCACACGGGGACUGAGACCCGGCCCAGACUCCUACGGGAGGCAGCAGUGGGGAAUAUUGCGCAAUGGGCGCAAGCCUGAUGCAGCCAUGCCGCGUGAAUGAAGAAGGCCUUCGGGUUGUAAAGUACUUUCGGCGGGGAGGCGUUACCCGCAGAAGAAGCACCGGCUAACUCCGUGCCAGCAGCCGCGGUAAUAC
rnacentral:rRNA from 1 species